CUCGGUUCGCUGGCUUAGCCUCUGCAAAAAAGAAACAGAAAGAGGUUAGUGAAAAUUCAAUAGCUCAUUACUCAAAAUUUACAAGAUGUUAAUCAACAGCAUGAUGAUGGCUGUGGUGCUGGUGCCGUUGAUUUAGCAUCCUUUUCCAUGGAUGUUCACAAGCUUGCUCCUCUUAGAUUAUAGUACCAAGUGUCUUAGAUUUGCGUGUUAAAAUCAUUUCUAUUUGAGUUCUUCAAAUGUUACAAAUAGAAGAAACUGAACUUCAGCAUAUACUUUUAAGCUAUCUAAUCUUUCAAAAACUAGAUUAAUUCUAUAAACAAAUAAACAUGCACUUUAUUCCCGCAUUCUACCUCAUGCAACUGGAUAAUUGUUAUUUCUAACACUAGUUAAUUUAACAAGGACCUAAUGUGGUCGAUAUAAUCCACUAGGUUAGGCUACAACCAUUAUUACAUGAUUCUCAUAGGUGAGAGCCCAAUCAAUCAUGUCAAAGGUUUCAUUUAGAAGGUAUUUAGAUUGUCAAUUCAAGAAUUUCGAGUAAAGUAAAUUGCUGAAAAAUGUCUAGCUAUUUAUCAACAGUAAAAUCUAAAAGCCAGUCUUAAGGUCGACAGAAUUUCUAUACGAAACAAUUGUCUUAAAGACCACAAGAUUCUAUAUGAAACAAAUUACAAAUAUAUCAAAGGAAACCACAAGAAACCCGACCUCAAGUUUUUCACCACGUUCUGCAAGUUUGUCCCUGGCCUGUGCAGCAGCAGCAGCAGGAUCCUGUAACAAGUGAUCCCCUUGUCAGAAAAAUAUAAGCCACAAUAUUAAUACUAAUAAUUAUUUGCACUUUACCUCCUUCCUAUACUUGGCCUUAAUUUCUUCAGCUGUUCUAAGUCUUGGCUUUGAAUCAAUAGUUGAUCCCUCAAAUAAUCUUUCUUUUUCAGCUCCUUUAUCUGUAAGAUAGCAAGAAGAUUGUUUAAGCUCAAACACAUUCACAGUUCAAAAAUAUAUUGGAUUAAUGAUAUGGGUUAAACCUUUUUUAUCUUUCUUAUUCGUCAAUGAUGAAGAUGAGACAACAAGAGGUUCAUCAAUAACAAUGUCAUCUGCAGCAAAUAGCAAUAGGUAAGAAAAGAAAUAACAGGGAUGGAACUAGAGGAAGAUGUUCAGAGCAGGAGAUAAAGAACCUAUGUUCAGCUCCAAAACUUUUUGCUUAUCUGAGAUGUCCAGGGAAGGCUUUAAAAACGGGGGAUUAGAAAAUAUGCUCUCUAAAUGAGCCAGUUAUUAUCACAAACUUCAGAAAUAUCCAUGCCAUGCUCUAGCUUACCCACUUGCAGGCCCUUGAUGAAACCACCUAAAAUACCAGAAGGACCAACCUGUUGCCACAAAAUUAAUGAAAAAUCCCAGAAUUUCUCAUGAAAAGAAAGAUGGGGAGCUGAUAGCCCAAAACAUAAACCUCAACCUGUUCCUUCUGACUGGGAGAUGAACUCAUAGCACCAUCAGCAGCAGCUGCAAGGACUUUGUCGUGAAGGCAAGGCAAUGAUUUUGGAAUCCUAAAAUUAUCAAAGGAUUCUCUUAGAAAACAACUUUUUAUCUUUGCAAUCAGAGUUCCAGGCAAUUGGCCAAAUGGCAACAUGACAAAUACACUGGAUAAAUGCAGAGGGAGAAAGAGAAGGCAGAGACCUGAAGUUAUUCCCGCAGGUCAAAAGAGAAACAAAAGCAAAUUCACACGCAUUUACCUACAAUACAAAAUGUUAGCAAUCAGGUCAUUUACAAUCAUGCCAAAAUAUAAUAAGAAAAUAGAUGAUGCUUAGAUGCAUAUUGACAUACUAAUUACAGUAAACCUAACAAUUAUGUUGGACAACUAAGGAUGUCUACUCUGAUAAAAAAAAAAAAAAAAAAACUAAGGAUGUCUACUGCUGUAAUCUAGGUAAGCAAGUUUAGAGCAGUACAAUCACCAAGGUAAAGAUGUCAAAUAAGCACUCGAUGCAAGUGUACAGCACCAAUUUGUACUAGAAGCAAAUUCUAGUAACACCAAAAAUCUAAAAGCAAGGAUAUGAAACAAUACUGUAAUAUCAAUACUUGAACAUGCUAUGAAGGCCAGAGAGAAUUUAAAUGUCGUCUUAGAAAUUUGUCUUGCGACAUGAUUAAACACGCAUAGCUUUUUCUACUACACCAUCCUACCUAUUUGUCAAGAGACGUUUCAGUUACUUUGAACCUUCCAUGUAGUUUAUCAUUCAGUCAUUUAAGUUCAAGUUUUAUUAUUAGUUAUAGCAAUAGCACCAGGAGACUGCAAUCUGCAUGAUCACCAACAACAGUUUUUCUAUUCCCUUUUAGCAUUAUCCAGCUCAGCUCGUUCUCACUGACUAAAUACCUGUAACCAAUUUUUAUGAAUGCUAGUUUAAAACAAGUGUGUAGAGAAGGAAAUAGUCACUAUACAUCUGUUUAUAAAUCAAUCACUCCAUAUUGUCUGUAGUGUGCAUUCCUGUUGAUCCUUGAAUGCAGGACCAGUCGAAUCUUAAUUACUCUUAGAAACAGCAGAAGUUUUGGUCACUGUAUUUUCUUAUAACCUAGCUGCCGUGUAGGAAUGUUUUAAGUACAAAGCCUAAUUCAGUUUUCAUUUUUUCUUAAUCCAAAGGUAGCAACCAUGGCCCCAACUGCCACUCACCACCUUCCUACACCCAGCCCAUUUUUGAGCAAGGAUGAAGGCGAAAAUCAGUUUGUAGCAGUGCAGCAACCAGGAGACUACUAGUGAGCAACAUGACAACAUCAGCACUGAGGGUGAGCAUUCAGUCUAGGCCUAUUGAAUAAACCGAAAAUUUAAUAGUAUGAACUGACCUAAUAGAAUAAGCCGACUUUUGUAUAAACCAAAUAUGAAGCCAAAUUGAAAAACCAAACUAAGUGAACCAAAUUACAUAAGGUCUAAUGUAAG
rnacentral:lncRNA from 1 species